rnacentral:tRNA from 1 species
GUAUUCUUAGCUUAGUUGGAUUAGAGCAACUGCCUUCUAAGCAGUAGGUGACAGGUUCAAAUCCUGUAGAGUACG